ACUCCUACGGGAGGCAGCAGUAGGGAAUUUUCCGCAAUGGACGAAAGUCUGACGGAGCAAUGCCGCGUGAGUGAUGAAGGUUUUCGAAUCGUAAAGCUCUGUUGUAAGGGAAGAAUAGCAGUAGUAGGAAAUGACUACUGUGUGACGGUACCUUACCAGAAAGCCACGGGCUAACUACGUGCCAGCAGCCGCGGUAAUACGUAGGUGGCAAGCGUUAUCCGGAAUUAUUGGGCGUAAAGCGCAUGUAGGCGGGCUCUUUAAGUCUGAUGUGAAAGCCUGUGGCUCAACCACAGAAGUUGCAUUGGAUACUGGGAGAGCUAGAAUCUUGGAGAGGUAAGUGGAAUUUCAUGUGUAGCGGUGGAAUGCGUAGA
rnacentral:rRNA from 1 species